GAUGAAGAACGUAGCGAAAUGCGAUAAGUAAUGUGAAUUGCAGAAUUCAGUGAAUCAUCGAAUCUUUGAACGCACAUUGCGCCCGCAAGUAUUCUGGCGGGCAUGCCUGUUCGAGCGUCAUUACAACCCUCAGGCCCCCGGGCCUGGCGUUGGGGAUCGGCGGAAGCCCCCUGCGGGCACAACGCCGUCCCCCAAAUACAGUGGCGGUCCCGCCGCAGCUUCCAUUGCGUAGUAGCUAACACCUCGCAACUGGAGAGCGGCGCGGCCACGCCGUAAAACACCCAACUUCUGAAUGUUGACCUCGAAUCAGGUAGGAAUACCCGCUGAACUUAAGCAUAUCAAUAAGCGGAGGA
rnacentral:misc_RNA from 1 species